ACAGAUGUUCGGAGUUCUAUAUCUACGGUUUUUCCAUUUACCUGGGCGGAGGACCAGAUCUCAUACCUGGUUAUUGUAUUAACGUCAUCACCCUCUAAAACAGUUCUGAACAAGCGUUCCAAAGAUAGAGGACUGGAUCAGAUGUCUAAAGGGUCAACAGAAGGAUGGGGCCACAGAUGACUCCACGCGUUCCGUCGCUCCCAAAGCAACGCCAUUCACCCCGCACGUCACACCCGGAGGAUUAUUUACCUGUCUGUGAUUGGGGGAGAGAAGGCAUUCUGAAGAAACGCCGGGAAGGGGCG